UGCACUCGUUUUCAUAGUGCGGUCCUAGA
rnacentral:sRNA from 1 species